CACCUCAACCAAUCGUAGCCCUGGCUGGUGAUGAUGUCAUUCUAUCAUGUCACCUUGAUCCUCCCACCAGUGCCAGCUCCAGGACAGUGGAGUGGACCAGACCUGGGUUAUACCCAGAGUACGUCCAUGUUCACCAAGAUGGACGACUGGUGCAUCAGAGUCAGAAUCCGCUGUAUAAUUACCGCACAGUGCUGUUUGUGGAUCAGCUGAUCAACGGAAACGUCUCCCUGAAACUCCUCCUGCUUCCUUCCCUCAUUACGGAAAGAAGCUUUCAUCCAGCUUAAUGUCGCAGAGUGACUGUGGAGAAGAGACACAGCAACAGCUUCACCUGUAGAGUCCAUCAGAGGAACAUCAACCAGACCACAGAGACACACAUCCAGGUUCCAGAUGAUCUCUUUGUGGCCCCGUGUAGUUCUGCAGCCUGUAUCAGCAUCAGUUUGGUUGCUUGCUUCAUUUGUGUUGCUGCAGUUGGUUUUGCUGCGUGGAAAUGGAGACAGAACAAAAUCAAAACCAAGAUGACCUCACCAGGAGAAGCACAGCGGCUCAUGGCAGAGGAAGAACAUAAAAACAUGGUGGAUGCACUGAUGAAACAGAUGGAGGGACUGAAGGAGCAGAUAGAUAAACUGAAUAGUCAAAAGAUAAAGAUGGAGGAACUGGUUGAGGACAGUGAGACAAAGCUUCAGUCAGUGGAGAGAGAUUUAAGAGAGAAGGAUGAAGAUAAAGGAUUCAUCAGUUCACCAGGAUUCAUAAAGCUCAAAGAAAUAAUUUCUCAGAAUAAAUGGAGCCUGAAUGACAGACUGAUGGAACUUGAGACACUGGUGCUGGACACUGAGAAACUGUUGGAGAUGACAGAAGGUGUGAUUGUUAGAACAACAGAAAAGUCAGAGAACCACAUGGACAAAA